rnacentral:sRNA from 1 species
GAUCGCCUGCGAGCUUGCUCACAGUACUUAUCAAUCCAUAACACCUGGUGCACUUGGCGGAUGGUUAGUGAAGACCGCCGGCUGACUAUCCAUCUACUUUACAUACAAUUUAGUACAAUGUAGUCUUAUUAUAACAUAAUAAACUUUCAACAACGGAUUCUUGGCUCUCGCAUCGAUGAAGAACGCAGCGAAAUGCGAUAAGUAAUGUGAAUUGCAGAAUUCAGUGAAUCAUCGAAUCUUUGAACGCACCUUGCGCUCCCUGGAUUCCGGGGAGCAUGCCUGUUUGAGUGUCAUGAAAACCCUCAACCUUAGAUUGGUUAACACCUUUCUUUGGCUUGGAUUUGGACGUUUGCCGAUGAUAAGUCGGCUCGUCUUAAAAGUAAUAGCUGGAUCUGUCUCGCGACAUGUUUGACUUGGCGUAAUAAGUAUUCGCUAAGGACAUCUUCGGAUGGCCGCGUUGCAAGACUAAAGACCGCUUUCUAAUCCAUUGACUUCGGAUUAAUAUUCUUGACAU